rnacentral:rRNA from 1 species
AACCUCCGCAAUGUGAGAAAUCGCGACGGGGGGAUCCCAAGUGCCAUUCUUAACGGGAUGGCUUUUCACUAGUGUAAAGAGCUUUUGGAAUAAGGGCUGGGCAAGACCGGUGCCAGCCGCCGCGGUAACACCGGCAGCUCUAGUGGUAGCAGUUUUUAUUGGGCCUAAAGCGUCCGUAGCCGGUUUAAUAAGUCUCUGGUGAAAUCCUGUAGCUUAACUGUGGGAAUUGCUGGAGAUACUAUUAGACUUGAGACCGGGAGAGGUUAGAGGUACUCCCAGGGUAGAGGUGAAAUUCUGUAAUCCUGGGAGGACCGCCUGUUGCGAAGGCGUCUAACUGGAACGGUUCUGACGGUGAGGGACGAAAGUUAGGGGCGCGAACCGGAUUAGAUACCCGGGUAGUCCUAACUGUAAACGAUGCGGACUUGGUGUUGGGGUGGCUUUGAGCUGCUCCAGUGCCGAAGGGAAGCUGUUAAGUCCACCGCCUGGGAAGUACGGUCGCAAGACUGAAACUUAAAGGAAUU